AUGAACGCUAGCUACAGGCUUAACACAUGCAAGUCGAGGGGCAGCAUGGUCUUAGCUUGCUAAGGCCGAUGGCGACCGGCGCACGGGUGAGUAACACGUAUCCAACCUGCCGUCUACUCUUGGACAGCCUUCUGAAAGGAAGAUUAAUACAAGAUGGCAUCAUGAGUCCGCAUGUUCACAUGAUUAAAGGUAUUCCGGUAGACGAUGGGGAUGCGUUCCAUUAGAUAGUAGGCGGGGUAACGGCCCACCUAGUCUUCGAUGGAUAGGGGUUCUGAGAGGAAGGUCCCCCACAUUGGAACUGAGACACGGUCCAAACUCCUACGGGAGGCAGCAGUGAGGAAUAUUGGUCAAUGGGCGAGAGCCUGAACCAGCCAAGUAGCGUGAAGGAUGACUGCCCUAUGGGUUGUAAACUUCUUUUAUAAAGGAAUAAAGUCGGGUAUGGAUACCCGUUUGCAUGUACUUUAUGAAUAAGGAUCGGCUAACUCCGUGCCAGCAGCCGCGGUAAUACGGAGGAUCCGAGCGUUAUCCGGAUUUAUUGGGUUUAAAGGGAGCGUAGAUGGAUGUUUAAGUCAGUUGUGAAAGUUUGCGGCUCAACCGUAAAAUUGCAGUUGAUACUGGAUAUCUUGAGUGCAGUUGAGGCAGGCGGAAUUCGUGGUGUAGCGGUGAAAUGCUUAGAUAUCACGAAGAACUCCGAUUGCGAAGGCAGCCUGCUAAGCUGCAACUGACAUUGAGGCUCGAAAGUGUGGGUAUCAAACAGGAUUAGAUACCCUGGUAGUCCACACGGUAAACGAUGAAUACUCGCUGUUUGCGAUAUACAGCAAGCGGCCAAGCGAAAGCGUUAAGUAUUCCACCUGGGGAGUACGCCGGCAACGGUGAAACUCAAAGGAAUUGACGGGGGCCCGCACAAGCGGAGGAACAUGUGGUUUAAUUCGAUGAUACGCGAGGAACCUUACCCGGGCUUAAAUUGCAGAUGAAGUACGGUGAAAGCCGUAAGCCGCAAGGCAUCUGUGAAGGUGCUGCAUGGUUGUCGUCAGCUCGUGCCGUGAGGUGUCGGCUUAAGUGCCAUAACGAGCGCAACCCUUGUUGUCAGUUACUAACAGGUUCCGCUGAGGACUCUGACAAGACUGCCAUCGUAAGAUGUGAGGAAGGUGGGGAUGACGUCAAAUCAGCACGGCCCUUACGUCCGGGGCUACACACGUGUUACAAUGGGGGGUACAGAGGGCCGCUACCACGCGAGUGGAUGCCAAUCCCCAAAACCUCUCUCAGUUCGGACUGGAGUCUGCAACCCGACUCCACGAAGCUGGAUUCGCUAGUAAUCGCGCAUCAGCCACGGCGCGGUGAAUACGUUCCCGGGCCUUGUACACACCGCCCGUCAAGCCAUGGGAGCCGGGGGUACCUGAAGUGCGUAACCGCGAGGAGCGCCCUAGGGUAAAACUGGUGACUGGGGCU
rnacentral:rRNA from 1 species